GAUGAACGCUGGCGGCGUGCCUAAUACAUGCAAGUCGAGCGAACAGAUGAGGAGCUUGCUCCUCUGACGUUAGCGGCGGACGGGUGAGUAACACGUGGAUAACCUACCUAUAAGACUGGGAUAACUUCGGGAAACCGGAGCUAAUACCGGAUAAUAUAUUGAACCGCAUGGUUCAAUAGUGAAAGACGGUUUUGCUGUCACUUAUAGAUGGAUCCGCGCCUCAUUAGCUAGUUGGUAAGGUAACGGCUUACCAAGGCAACGAUGCGUAGCCGACCUGAGAGGGUGAUCGGCCACACUGGAACUGAGACACGGUCCAGACUCCUACGGGAGGCAGCAGUGGGGAAUCUUCCGCAAUGGGCGAAAGCCUGACGGAGCAACGCCGCGUGAGUGAUGAAGGUCUUCGGAUCGUAAAACUCUGUUAUUAGGGAAGAACAAAUGUGUAAGUAACUAUGCACGUCUUGACGGUACCUAAUCAGAAAGCCACGGCUAACUACGUG
rnacentral:rRNA from 1 species